rnacentral:rRNA from 1 species
UACGUAGGGUGCGAGCGUUGUCCGGAAUUAUUGGGCGUAAAGGGCUCGUAGGCGGUUUGUCGCGUCCGGAGUGAAAACACCGGGCUUAACUCGGUGCUUGCUUUCGAUACGGGCAGACUAGAGGCAUGCAGGGGAGAACGGAAUUCCUGGUGUAGCGGUGAAAUGCGCAGAUAUCAGGAGGAACACCGGUGGCGAAGGCGGUUCUCUGGGCAUGUCCUGACGCUGAGGAGCGAAAGUGUGGGGAGCGAACAGG